GUGGCUGUAGCUCAGCUGGAUAGAGCAUCAGAUUGUGGCUCUGAGGGUCGGGGGUUCGAAUCCCCUCAGCCACC
rnacentral:tRNA from 1 species